UUGAAGUUUGUGCAUAUACAUCCUGGUUGGGAGGGAUCAGCUUCAGAUGCAAGAGUUCUAAAUGAUGCACUUAACCAUGGUUUUGAAGUUCCCGAUGGUAAAUUUUAUCUCGUGGAUGCUGGUUAUGCAAACACACCACAAUUUCUUGCUCCAUACCGUGGUACUAGGUAUCAUUUAAACGAACAAGGAAGAGUUCGUCAAAGGCCACAAAAUCACAGGGAACUAUUUAAUCUUCGACAUGCUCAACUUCGGAAUCAUGUUGAGAGAAUUAUCGGCAUAUGGAAAAUGAGAUUUCCUAUACUGAAAGUUGUUAGAAUAUAA
rnacentral:rRNA from 1 species